CACCCCACCCACCCCUCCCCGCAUUGUGGCAUCAGUGCUGCUGCUUCCAGGGAGCCUUCCUGGCCAUCCAAGCCUCCUCUCCAGGUUCCUGCCCUGCUGUAGUCCCCAGGCCAGUGCUUGGCAGGUGCUCAGGGAAUGUAUCCACCAACCAAGGUUUGGGGUGGCUGUCUCUGCCUGACCACUUUCCCCAGGCCCCUGGCGGGUACCUGAGCUGUGCUCUCAGGGCCUCAGGAACCUCCUUCCAUAUUCAGGGCCUGUGCCUGGGGAGGCUUCAGGGUGUAGCAGCUGUGCCCAUCCCAGGCUGACCCACCCAGCUUGCCUGGUAGCCCAGCCUCUGGGCUAGUGUGCCGUGGGGCAGGGGAUGUGCUGUAGCCUGGUGCAGAGUCCCCAACCCCAGAAGGGGGCCAUGGAAGCUGACACCCCAAGUGGCCGCCCCCCUGCUCUGUCUUGCUUCGGACACUGUGGCCGGGUCCAGGAUCCUGGCAUCCUGGGAGGUCUCUGGCUUUGUGGGCAGCCUGCCUGGCCCGCACAGUCUGCCUGUCCUGAGGGUGAGACACAGGUCAAGCCCACAGACCCCCUUGCUCCCCUGCUGGGGCCUCCAGGCUCACAGACCACCCCACCCUACCCUGUCCUUGCCCAAGCAAAUGAGAGGCAGGGGCUUCCCGGGCUGCUGCUGUCCCGCCCUCUGUGGGGCAGGAGGAGGUGCCCACAGAGGCUGGGUGGUGAUAGCCAGGAGAUGGGCUGGCAUCUGCAUUACCCAAGCUCUGCUGCCCAUGGUGGCCUUUCUGGGGGUGGGUGCUGGUCCCUGCCCCCUGCCCCACCCCUGAUGUCUGCUCCAGAGACAAAGGUGGGGAGGGUGCUGAAGAGGAAGUGUUUGCCCAGGGAGAGGCUGCGGCUCCUCCUGAAACAUCAGCCCUGUGGGUCCUGUUUGCAGAAUCUCCGGCCUGUGAAACUGUGAGGGGAUUCGGCCAAGACGUCCUCUUCCCUCUGCCUCCCACCCAGGCCACUCUUCACCUCCACCAUGAGCCUGGACAUCCAGAGCCUGGACAUCCAGUGUGAGGAGCUGAGCGACGCUAGAUGGGCCGAGCUCCUCCCUCUGCUCCAGCAGUGCCAAGUGGUCAGGUACGCUUGCUCUCGGGGUGGCCUUGGGGUGCUGGUGGGGCAGGCUGGCGGGUGGCGGCUCCCUCUGAAGGGUGCAUUGCUCUGGAACGCCUUGUUUGUGGACAUGAAGUAUGAAUUCUGUGCAGCUACCACGUGCAUGAGAUGUGAUUCUUGUGUUUCUUUUUGACAAUUUAGGAAUGUAAAACCCAUUCCAGGCUCAUGCAGCAUGGGCUGAGGUGGGCGGGCCGAGGUGGGCGGCCACUGGCCAGUGGGUCUCUGGCUCCGGUGUCUCAGCUCCUCUCCCUCCCUUGGAGACACGAGGGCAGGACACAGCUUGGGUCCCCUCCGUGAGCCUCCAUGGGGCGCUGCUUGUCCCUGCCAAGCUGGGGGCUGGGAGUCCUCGGCCCUCGAGGUCCUCACAAACCCAGCAGCUUCACAAGCAGGACACGAGUGCCUGGGUGGGCCGCAUCUUUUCUCUUUUUACCUGGUGAUUUCAAGUAGUGUCAGGUUUGCGGAGGAGUUACGAGGACCGGACGGGGCUCCCUGGUGAGGUGGUCCUGUGUACCUGCGGACGCUAGCUCUGGCCCAGCACCUCCAGGCAGGGUCUGCUUUUCCGCCCUGCCCUUUUCGUCUUCCUCACUGGUCCAGGAUUGCGUGGCCCUCAGCCCUCUGUCUCCUUAGCCCUCUCCCGUCUGUGACUGUCCCCUCGUCUCUCUGGGUUCUUGGUGGUCUGAGGGUCUGGCCAGGCUCCUGCAGGACGUCCUCUGUUGGGGCUUGUCUGGUGGUUUCUUGUGGUUGAAGUCCUACAGUUUUGGCAGGAAUGCAGGGAGAUGCCGUGGGGCCUGCCAGGAGCGUCCUGUCACAGGCGCCGUCUGCCACCCUCUCCACUGUGACGCCACUGCCUUUCCUCCUGUGACUGAUCAGUGCCUUCGAGAGAUACUUUAAAUUCUUUUUAUUUUUAGAGACAGGGCAUUGCUCUGUCACCCAGGCUGGAGUGGCUCCCUCAUGGCUUAUGCGGCCUCAACCUCCUGGGCUCAAGUGAUCCUCCUGCCUCAGCCUCCCGAGUAGCUGGGAUUAUGGGCAUGCGCCACCACGCCCGGCUACUUUUGUAUUUUUAGUAAAGACGGGGUUUCUCCAUGUUGGUCAGGUUGGUCUUGAACUCCCGACCUCAGGUGAUCUGCCUGCCUCGGCCUCCCAAAGUGCUGGGAUUACAGGCGUGAGCCACCGCGCCUGGCC
rnacentral:lncRNA from 1 species